UUCUCACUCUAAGUCUAGUCGCGCUUAGAGAGAACGGAAGAGAAAAGGAUAGAAAUGACGGGUCUUGUGGGAAAGGAUUUGCCAUUCGCGAUAGUUCGGCGUUUUUAAUGGCUCUAAGCGACUCGUUGGCCCGCAAAUCUCGAUAGGCCACGUACCAGCUCCGAGUGUGAUUUGCGAGGUUAUGAGUUAUCGGUGGGAGGGAUAAGCGAGCGUGCACGCUGCUAAAAAUACCAAGGAUUGCCGGUGGCAAGCAAAGUAAGAGGUACAGGUGUCUGGAAUGCUGCAGGUGUAUGGAACGUUACUUUUAACCCUUUAACGAGCUAACUCGUCGGUGGAAAAUGCCUUUCCAGGCUGCAAAAUGGUACUGACCAACUUCGGCCCGAUACGUUUGUUUCGCAUGACCAGUUAACUUCUCUGGAAAUGUGAGAAAUACUUAUAGGCAUGAAAAAACAUUCGGUUAUAAAGAGUUCAUCGAAAGUGUUUGCAAGUGCAGAGUUUUCGGUAACUAUCCCAGUUGAAGGGUUGAGAGGACUGUAAUUUAUAUCGACAUUACUUUUAACAUUAUUCGUAAGAUGAUUGUAAUUUAUGUGUAAAGUGAGUACAUGCAAAAAUUGAUGUUAACUCGUGAAUGCAUGCCUCGUUUUCAAGUACUUUAGAGAUGCUUUCUUGAUUUUUAACAUUCACUGAUGUCUCCGAUAAACAUCAACGAACUAUGCACUGAUUUUGAUUACGACAUGUAAAGUUAUGAGUUGUCAGCGAAACAAUAAGAAGAAAUACAUGCUUUUGAAUAUACUGCGAAGGAUUGCCAGAGAAAGCCUAGAAGAUGUAAACAUAUUGGAGCAUGUACCAUUUCGCGUGGGAUUGCAGUAAUUUUCAUAAAUAUUGCCCAGGAUUAGUGGGAUGUAAAUUGACUACUCGUAAAUCUUAACGGGAUGGGCAGAUAAUUCGCAUAGUGGCGGUUAUAAUUUUUGCAGUAAAUUUUCUUAAAUAGAAGCAUCACACUCGCCAAGCCUGCCUUGUGUACAUAUAGCUUAUGAAAAAUGAUUCGAAAUUUCCUGGUCUCUUGGCGUGUCGAGUACUGCCCUUGACAUCGGUGAAUUAUAUUUGUAAACUUCCUAGUCGCUGUGACGUUAACAGGGAUAAUAAUUACUCAAGACCUGUGUGUACAUAGUGCAGGCCUUAAAUAAUAGACAAUUAGAAAUACAUGACACAAGGAGCGUCAUAUACCGGCGCGGUGUUUGGCUCCGCAUUUUUUUAAAUUUAUAUUUUUCAAAAUUCUGCUUAAUUAUGCUACAUUUGUGUUAACUUUAGCCGCUAGUCUAUCGUAAGAGCGAAUAUCACUUUCUAUAAAAAAAAAAAAAAAUAAGGGUUUCUCGCGAAAGAUAGAGUUUUACUUCCUGGUAUCAAUAAUAUAAGUCGUAGGGCCGAGCGGAUGAUAUUAAUGAAAAACUUGUAUUAUCGUUAAUAAUGUUUAUAUAAAAAUCUGACAUAUCA